GGGGAUAUGGCGGAAUUGGUAGACGCUACGGACUUAAAAUCCGUUGGUUUUAUAGACCGUGAGGGUUCAAGUCCCUCUAUUCCCA
rnacentral:tRNA from 1 species